rfam:Pantoea sp. At-9b, complete genome.
CAUGAAACGUCUGCCGUUCUUCUUCGCAUUCUUUUUACCUUCCCCUGAUUGGGAGGCGAUUCGUCAUGUGAAAAUGAAUGCGAAGACGAACAACAAAGCCUCCCAACCGGGAGGCUUUUUUAUU